AACCUGCAACAACAAAUUAUCUCAAUCAUCAAUCACAUAAUACAGUGAAUAUGUCUAAUAGCUAUAACUCCUACCGUUUAACCACUUCAUCAGCCCAAAGGAUCGAAGGAUGAGCAGCUUUUUCUUUUUACAGCGGAGCAAACAGUUCAAGGGCAAAAAAAAGGAAACAGUAAUGAAAAAAAAUAAAAGCCCGCUGACUCACUGCUCCUAUAAAAAGCAAUCAGAAGGCCGGGUCAAGAUUCGAAUCCUGGCCCGGUAACCACUGAGCCACGGAAGCACGCUGUUCGAUACAUAUACUAAUAAAAUAAUCAAGCAGUUCUGUAUGAAUAACUUAGCUAUAUGAUCAUGAACAUUGAGGAGUUUUUCUUUUUCCUCUGGAGCGUUAUAGGGGGCUAGUUAGGCUAUGGGACCACGGCCUCCAGAACCCCGUCAUGGCUAGUCUAUGUUCUAUCAUUUUAUCUGUAUUAUUUUCCUCCAUAGUCCGAAAAUCCGUACAAAUCCUGAUAUUCUGUACGGCUGGCAGCACUGGGGUCUUGACAAGGGUGGCCAGCAGUACCAACUUAAGGCCCUUCACUCCACUAUGUAAACAAUCACAAAUAUCACCCUAGUACAAUGAACACGGGUCCUCAACCACUCCUACCCACUCCUAUCACCCCAAAUUAACGGCCCUGAGUUUCCUGGAGAGUGACAAGGGAUAAGAAGCGACGUGGAAGGCGAAACGAGAACAGUGCCGCAAAUUUUCAAAGCCUCCAUCUUCCCGGGGUGUUGGCAGAACUGAGGGCGCUGAGGACCUUCAUUAAUGGCUUUCAGCGUGAAUUUCCGCACUUUUAUCACCAUGAGCUAGCGGGCGGCGCCUCAACUAUCCCCACAAACACAUGAGUAUCCAGCCACUGGUCUUCUUGCAGCAAGAAGAUGAUUGAUGACGGACACUCCUAUCAAAGACCUGCCCUGUGACUGCCUUACGAGGGAUACCAUGGAGCCAAGGCCCUGCAGUGCUCUUCACAGUGUUUGACUCCUAGAACCUCCUGAACCUCGUGUGUGAAAAAGUUGAAUGUUAUAGAACUGUGCCAGAUUACAUAGUACAAUGUCAGGUACUUACUGAAUUAGUACCUAAGUCAUUGAAUGUAAUUUGUCAAGAGCUUCAAAGGUCAACUUGUCACCUAAAUUUUCUGUGAAAAUUUUCUGGGGUUCAUAUUUCAUUACUGUUUAUUGCAAUGUUAUGAUUUAUUUUAAUAUUUUGUAGGGUAAGGAUUCAUGCAUUUCUAGUUUCUAACUUAAAGUACUUAGGCAUUACUGGAUAAUUGCUUAUUCAGUUUUGCUUGAGUUGUUGUGAUGGUUCUAAGCUAAUAAGAUUUGUUAAGUGGAAAGCCUGAAAACCACAGCUGUCCUUCCAGAAAUAUGGCCACACAAGCACCCACAAAUGAUUUUGCAUAUGGACAGUACGAGAAGCUGUACACCCAAAAGAAAUAUCUAGAUGAGGACUCAAUCAAUGAAACUGACCUAAACAAGUUUGAGUGUGACGAAUGUGGAAAGUUCUUCAGUCGAAAGCAAGAUCUUCCACGUCACUCCCUCACACACACAGGUCUAAAGAAAUUUGGAUGUAAUGAGUGUGGAAAAUUCUUCAGUCAGAAACAUCAUCUCAUGUACCACAGUCUAACCCACACCGGCCUAAAAAAGUUUAAGUGCGAAGUGUGUGGAAAAAACUUUAGUCGGAAAGAGAGUCUUUCCCGACACCAUCUUAUUCACACAGGCGAAAAAAAAUUCAAAUGUGAAGAAUGUGGAAAAUUCUUUACCUUAAAGCACCAUCUAAACUAUCAUUCUGUUACUCAUUCUGACCUUAAAAAAUUUGAAUGUGUUGAAUGUGGGAAAUUCUUCAGCAGAAAGCAAGGUUUGGUCCGCCACACACUAACGCACACUACCUACAAUAAGAUGUAAGAUAGCUGUGGAGAGUAUUCUGAAUAGGCCAAGUUAUGGAGUGAAAUACCUACUACCGGUGGAAAGUAUUCUGAAUAGGUAAGGUUACUGAGAGUUCACUGUCAUAGAAAUGUAAACCUUUGAGUAUUUAUAAUUUAAAGAUGAAUGUAUGUUUUGUCAACAUAACCCUCAUGAAGAAUGUUUUCAAAUAUGUUUAUUUUUUCUCAAGUGAUUAAGCUUUACGUUGGUAAUGCUUACUGAAAAGAGUCAAUGGAAAAGCUGAGGUAUGUCCAAGAUAGACCAUAUCGUGCUUCAUAAGGCGAGCCAUUAUUAUGCCACAAGACAUUUAGUGAGAACUUUAGAGAGGAAUGAACAAUUGGGUACUUAAAAUUUCAUGCUAUUGAAUAGGCCUGAGUUCAACAUAACUUAAUUGGAGCAAAGAGCUAUGCAGUUCAUCUCCUCUCCUCCAGCAUCCAAGCACAUGCUCUUCCUACAUACCCUUGCACUUCUGCAAAUGGCACACAGUUUUUCAAGUUAUUUUGUCCAUAUCAUUACCAGUUGUACUGUAGUAAUGUAAGGUCUAAUUUUUCCAGUUGUGCUUUUUGAUUGGUGUAAAUUAUAUUAAAAACAAUGAAUCUCC